rnacentral:rRNA from 1 species
AAGCGUGCGCAGGCGGUUAUGUAAGACAGAUGUGAAAUCCCCCGGGCUCAACCUGGGAACUGCAUUUGUGACUGCAUGGCUAGAGUACGGUAGAGGGGGAUGGAAUUCCGCGUGUAGCAGUGAAAUGCGUAGAUAUGCGGAGGAACACCGAUGGCGAAGGCAAUCCCCUGGACCUGUACUGACGCUCAUGCACGAAAGCGUGGGGAGCAAACAGGAUUAGAUACCCCAGU